UCCCUCUUAGCUCAGUUGGUAGAGCGCGUCACUAGUAUCCCUAUUCAGACAGUUACUUUAUGACGAGGUCAGUCGUUCAAAUCGGCUAGCGGGAA